AGGGAGGGAAGUGCAGUUGAGGAUGGAAAAUGGUGCAAUGAAAUUACUUUGAAGUUUGAAGGCAUAAAAUAGAAUUGACUUGCACAAGACACUGUCACUUUGCAUUGGAAGAGGCCGUGAUCAUGCAGUGGUCAUAAAUGGGCUGCCAUUGGUGAUAAUGACAGCUAGCUCCACUCAUGUCUUGUUCAGUUGUCUCCCAUAUAACCAGCCGCUGUCACCAUUGGUGGCGCUGGCUAGCACAUACUGAGGUAUAUCUAUGUGCUAUGCCAUAGAUGGUAGACAGUGGACGAGGGAAAGAGGUAUAGUUGCCACUAUAGCUAAGUUCGGAGAGUGCAAUUUGCGUCAUGUGAAUGUUGGUGGUCUGGCUUUUGCCAGUAGCAAAUUCUUGCUUCUACUUUUGAUUUUAUUGUUUUUUAUUACGUUUGCAUUUCUACCGACUGUCUCGUUCACUCUAUUACAUUCAUUCGAUUGAUUGUCUGUUGACUUAGUAUAUGGAUGAUCCUUGAAACCAACUUGUUCAAAUCAUGUUAUUGUUGAAAUAAGUCUCUCCAGGAAAAAUGAUCUUUCAGAAAUGAACUAAUCUCCAGCUGGUGCAGUGUUUUAAAAUGAGGAAGCUUAUGGGAAAAAGGAAAAAGAACAUCUGUUGGCUUACCUGAUGUCAUACAGGCUCAUGGUUUUUGUUUUUUAUGCAGUGAGUGAAAUGAAGUUUUCUAUUAAACUGUAAAUGUGGAGGUAGCUUGUUUCACCAUUUUAUUACCUUAGUGUAAAGUUACACGAUUAGUUCGAACCAAAUGGCUUCAAUAUUGACAGAAGAUACAUAAGACUUCGAAUUUUGGCUGUAAAUACUGUGCUAAGCAAGAAGCCUUGGUUCAUUUAGAUGUUCCUAAUAAAACUUUAGGUUUGAUUUUUAAUGACAUUUUUAUUGCAAAAUAUUGUGUGCAGAAUGGAUACCUUGUGUGAAGUUGACAUCACAUUCCUUUUUCUUGCUGCUUAUGGCCAAUUCACAUGCACACUGCUUGCACAGUUCUCUGUCAGCGAUUGUCCAACAUGAGUGCCUCCCUCUUCUCUGCAGUGACCGCAUCGCGGAAAAUCAUGCCACGAUUGGUACCUCCUUCUGGCGCACAAGGAAGCGGUACAAGCAGCAAGGUGAACGCCCGCACUUACUGGGUCGAUGCCCAGGAACAGAGUGGUCCCUGCAACUUACCACAGCCUGGGAGCGACAGUCCCCGCUUGGCCAGCAGCCAGUCACGCAAGAGAGGAAACUUCAAGUGCCGCUACUGUGGCCGUACUUUCGUCUACAUGACACCCUUCAUCGCCCACGAAUACGCACAUGCCAACGAGAAGCGCUUCCUCUGCAACUUUUGCCCCCAGGGCUUUGUCACGCGCCAGCUGUUGACUGUUCACCUGCGUGUUCACAAGGAUGAGAUACUUGCCAAUGAUGACGCUGUACCGUAGGAGUGCACUGACGCAGUAGCGCCAUGGCUUCGCACUUCUUAAAUUUGUGGAAGCAGCCUCUAAGGGCAGUAAAGCCAUUCUCCUAUUUAGACAAACCUUUAAUUGUGCUAUUUGCUGUAGUGAUCCAAGACUGGCCAGGGUUCAUCGUGCCAUGUUGUGUACCGACGACAACCUGCUACGUUGGUGCAAGUGGCUGCGCACUCUGUUUGAGUGCGCAGUUCUGCUGCUUUGUCCUGACUGCUGUGUCACCUCAUGGAUUUGCAUGGCAGAUUUUCGUUGAUUCACGUACAUCUGUCAUUGAAUGCCACCUGCUGUCUUUUGCACACGAUUCUCUUGGUCACUUGAUCAGCAGAAAGUGCAGAUGCACUCUGGGAGUGGUUUGUUGCGCAAAGUUUCUCAACGGAACCUCCUGAGUUUAGCACCUUUCCUCGAGCAGGAAGGUGAGCACAUGAGUGGAUUACGCUUUUUCCAGGACUAGUGUCCCAGUUCUUUUGUAAGCUGUCAGUCACUGUGCGCAACCUGAACUGCAACUGACAGCAUCUGCUGUUAAACAGUGGCACUACAUGGCAGGUGCGAGCUGUCUCAUCUAUGAAAAAUUUGGAGACAGCUUUACGCAGGGCAACCCACUCUACUUUGAAGUGUGCUCUUAGGCACGAGGCUUUCUGCAGGCUAUGUAGUUCCUUGUUUUGUUUUGCUUAUCAGUGUGUGUGUGUGUGUGUGUUAUGAAGUCCUGCAUGGUGUGGCUGGCAUUCCCUCUCAGCAUUGGACAGGUGGUAUUUUUGUCAUCGUCAGUUGUGUGCAGAAGGGCUUGCCUGACUGCAGCAAUGCAAUAGCAAGCAGGAUUUAACAUAGAUUUUUCGCGAAACAUGUGUUUUAUUUCUAUGCGUUAACUACUUGUUGUUGACCUAGUUUUCAUUUGUAAUGUGAUGGCUGUAGCUUGCCUGCUGGUUUGAUGUUUUGUACGGAUAGGCCAAUAUUUAUCCAUGUAAUGCUUAAGCAUGAGAGUCUACGUGCAAACCCAAAAAACAUUGUUGCCACUAGGUGUGAAUGAGCAGCCGUAUGGCUGUGGCACUCUAUAAACUGUGUGAUAUCAUUCUGUUUAGCAUCUCAUGCCUUGUUGCAUGUUUACCAUACCAAGUUUUGUGUGAGUGAUCUGUGAGCAAAGUGCCUUGUCAAAAGUUAUCUCACUCUCCUGGCUUUACCUAAAAAAACUGUCUUCCGCAAAUAUUUUGAAGACAGCAUCUUUUUCAAAACGUGUCUAGUGGGAUUGCAUAGGCUGACCACGUUUUACAUACGGCGAGAAUAUAAGUCAGAAUUUGAUGGCAGUAUUUCACUUGUGUAACGAAUGAGAGCUUGUGCACCCUAGUUUUGCAGUUUUAUGCAUGCAAUUUGGGAGUUUGAGGAAUUGGACACCAGUGAUAUUUUGGCUUUGAAGUUGUGGCUUAAAAUGAAGCAGUAGCAACGUUACAACAUUAACAUGUAAGGGCCCUAUUUAGCAGACCACAAUGUGGCAGCUCAUUUGCUCAUUUCUGAGCUGCAAACAAUUAUGACAAUGUAUGAGGUCACUCUUAAUGAUUCAACACUGUUUGAAAGCACCAGUUGCUCUUUCAUUCUAAGCGAAAGCUGAUAUAUAGCUUGCGGUCUUGAGUAGCAGUGUUGUCAUCCUUCAGAAAGCAAGCCAGUAACACCGUGGUCAUGACUAAGCACUUACGUUCGAUAAGCAUAGUAACUGCUAAAAGUCCAUUUCAUGGUGCUCGUGCACCAAUCCUGACUUGGUUUAGCCAAUACGAGCCUUUAAUUUGUCAAGCAAAGGAUUGCUUUUACGAAUGCAUCUAACAGACUUACGAAGAAAAGAACUAUGAAAAAGCAGCUUCCUGACUUACUCUGGGCCAAUAAAUUAUAGGUUUUCCUGUGUGGGAGACCGGAAAAUGGCCACUUAUUAAUUUUAAAACAAAUUAGCUUUUGCAGACAUAAAGUGCCACAGUAGCAGCGAUAGAGUUAAGUCUUAUACCCAGCAUUCCAGGCAGUUUAGCUGCAUCAUAAGCUGGCGAAAUCUGGCAGAUUAAGCAUAUUUCAACUUACCAAGUUCAUUAUUCAGUUAUGGUUCUUGGCAGAUCUUUAUUAUGUAUAGUUUAAUUAGUUUGUGAAGGGCUGCUUUUGGCAAUGAACAAGUUAGAGAUCUGUCACAGCUACAAAUUUUGCUAGCCUAACUACUUAAUAUGCAACUUAAUAACAUGUAUUGAAGUGUCAUCCACUGCUUGAUUGUUUAAGUCAUUAAUGGUAGGUUUGAGCAUGAACAAGUAUUGAAUUAAGUGUAGCGUGUGCUAAAGUAGAGCAAACAUUUCCAUCCUUAGCAUUGCCCACAUUACAUAAUGUUUGUCCACUGCCUUUUCUUCCUGCUUAUUGCCACAUGCAUCAAACUUCCUUUCAUGCAGAACAGCACGUACAUCUUUUAGUAUCUGGUCUUCUGGUCACAAUGAAUUCUUAGCUGCAAUCUGCAUCGAGAGGUUGCUGGAUGUUAUGUUGUAUACUGCAGCGUCUGUAUUUGCUUUUUGCAGAUCUGCUUUUGUGGACUGUUUGCUUUCUCAUUUUAAAGUGUUUGCCUCAAUUUUGCUCAUAACCCACAAUUCAGAAUGCAGGAACACUAGGUAUAGUGGUAGUUAGGCAUAGCACAUUAGGCCUAGUGCGAUGCUCUAGGCCACUCUCAUCAUGCAAAUAAUUUACGUUUCUGUUUGUUGUGUGCUUCACCUUCUGAGAUGGGGCAGGUUAUUUGUUCGCGUCAAUGAGGGAUUAUUGCUGUAUUUUGCAUUCUUGUUUUUGCCUUCUUUUUUUGCAUUUAUGCUUGUUUUUGUGUCAGGGGCUCACACAUAUACAAUCUGUGUUGUGUUGUUACUUGUUACAUGUUACGUAUGACUGAGCACACUUCUUUUUGGCACUGAGUCUGUUCCCUUUAUUUCUGGUUAUUGCUAUUAAAAAUUCCCGGACAAAGCUUGAACUUAAAGAGAAAAUUGAGGUUUGUAGAGGUGGAAAAUCCUUGAGCUCCAGUGACGCCCCCUGGUCAAGGAUUUUUCAUAUGGACAAAGUUUGAUGUAGUUUACUGGAAUGUUUUUUGUGCCAUACACUGCUCUAGUGCUACAGCUUAGUUCAUUACAAAAUCUUGCUUCUUUUCUUGUAUUCUUGCACAUAAAUGCUUUUAGCGUGCUGUUUUUGUCUAAUGUGUAUGUGUACUUGGGUAUUUCACAAAUUUGCAAUUGUCAGUGUUUACAUCGCCUUUGAAAGCAAAGUAUUUAGGCAAGGGCCAUCAUUGAGAUGACAUUAAACUGUGCCCGUCAAUUUAAAUAAAAUGCUUGGUUAUUCUUUCGGUU
rnacentral:lncRNA from 1 species